UACCCAUAAAUAAAGCGUCCCUCAAAUCUUCACCCUUUUUACACGUUCCAUGUCAGUUACACUGGUCUCAGAUUUUACGUUUUCUCCAUCCAACAUUCUAUUUGUCCGCAAUUCAUGCUUAGCGUGCUUGCUAUUUGAUUUUGAAACAUGUUUUCGUUUUUUAUCGCCGUUUUUAUUUGAUUUCUUUGAAGCCUAAGUAUGUUAGUCAUUGCCGAAUUUUGAAAAUUCUGUGAAGUACCUUAUUUAAACUGUGAGUCUUUUCAGAUAAUGCGAGAUCAAGAAGGCGUUUACUUAAUGUUUUUAAUUGCUCAGCAUUCGGGUUGAUGGGAAUAACGUCUUUUUCCUCGUAGACCUGAUUACACUGAUGUUGUGUUAGCAAUAACUCAAGGGUUGGAAAUGCUUUUCUUAGCUAUCGAUAGACUUACUUGAAAACACAUUUUCUCGCCAAACUGCUUCAAGGCAGAGUAUUCAAAUACAUGACCGCAAGGCACUAUGUAGGCGAAUUGGUAUGUAUCAGACAUUACAUGUCUUGUAAUCGGGCAUAACCAUAGCACUUUACCGGAAUCAUCCAGCUCAACUUGAAGUUGUACCACGUCUUUCAGUGAUUUUAUAUGAGAAGGGCUUUUCGGAACACUUGACCUAUCUAACAGCAUUUGUAAAAUGCUUGCUUUGUUAUACAGUUUUCCUAAACCACACGAUACAAUUGGAGGGUAUAAGGGCUCAUCCGUAAUGGCACACUGAGAAAAUUGAGAAGAUUUUACAGAACGUUUAAAGUCUAUAUCAAGCGGCGGUACUUUGCCAGGCUCUUUCACUAAUUCGUUUCGGGUUGGUAAU